CCUAACUGCUCACAGUGGAAACCACACAGGCCCAGUAAUCAGAGGUAGAAGGAUGAAGUGGGUGUUCUAGUUAGGGUUGUCUGUGUUUCUUCUACCAUUACUUACUGUAGGUGGCCUGAGCCUUCUGGGUAACACUACCAUUACUUACUGUAGGUGGGCCGAGCCUUCUGGGUAACACUACCAUUACUUCCUGUAGGUGGGCCGAGCCUUCUGGGUAACACUACCAUUACUUCCUGUAGGUGGGCCGAGCCUUCUGGGUAACACUACCAUUACUUCCUGUAGGUGGGCCGAGCCUUCUGGGUAACACUACCAUUACUUCCUGUAGGUGGGCCGAGCCUUCUGGGUAACACUACCAUUACUUCCUGUAGGUGGGCCGAGCCUUCUGGGUAACACUACCAUUACUUCCUGUAGGUGGACCGAGCCUUCUGGGUAACACCACUAUUUAGUGUAUUUACUAUUGAUGGGGCACUAAGAAUACCUUGCAUGUAACUACUGUAGGCUGUAUGUUUGGACUAACCUCAUUUCUAUACAUUUUUAACAUUUUCAAAACAUUUCAUUUCCAAUCUUGAACAUACCCCAUAUAAACUAAUAUCACACUAGCUGGUACACCAUCCAUCUUCCAAGGCUAAUAAAAAGGCCCUUGUCAGAGUGCGUAGCUGUAAAACCAACAGUCGCUCUGAUUCAAUUCGCCAUCUCUCUGACUCGCCUUCCCUCUUCUCCGAGGCCUUCCUGAGAGGGGGGCGACAUGCGGGGCGCGUAAACCUGUCACAUUUACAUGGCAGUGAGCGUCGCACGGGGACCACUGCUCGCUUUAUGACUUUACAGACACGGCUACAGACGCCACAGUGACACACAACACAAAUAGUGUCUGGUCGCCCUGUCCCUGACCCCGGCCUGAAGAUACAGCUUCUAUCCCCCUGACAGACACUAGGAGUUUACAUUUGUGUUCUUGUUGGGUUGUACAGAGCCCCAGAGGAGUCCCUAAAUUGUAUUUUUAGCACUGCUUUCUCUCAUCUUCGUUGUACCUGGGAAGACUGUAGUAGUAUACUGUAGUAGCAUUCUGGGCUGUAGUAGUAUACUGUAGUAGCAUUCUGGGCUGUAGUAGUAUACUGUAGUAGCAUUCUGGGCUGUAGUAGUAUACUGUAGUAGCAUUCUGGGCUGUAGUAGUAUACUGUAGUAGCAUUCUGGGCUGUAGUAGUAUACUGUAGUAGCAUUCUGGGCUGUAGUAGUAUACUGUAGUAGCAUUCUGGGCUGCAGGAAUAUUCUCUGCUGCACUACUAUUAUUCUCUGCUGCACUACUGGUAUUCUCUGCUGCACUACUGGUAUUCUCUGCUGCACUACUGGUAUUCUCUGCUGCACUACUAUUAUUCUCUGCUGCACUACUAGUAUUCUCUGCUGCACUACUGGUAUUCUCUGCUGCACUACUGGUAUUCUCUGCUGCACUACUGGUAUUCUCUGCUGCACUACUGGUAUUCUCUGCUGCACUACUGGUAUUCUCUGCUGCACUACUAGUA